rnacentral:tRNA from 1 species
GGGCCUGUAGCUCAGUUGGCUAGAGCACCUGCUUUGCAAGCAGGGGGUCGAGGGUUCGAGUCCCUCCAGGUCCACCA